CUUACCGUGCAGUCGAGGGGCAGCGAGGUGUAGCAACGUCGUCGGCGACGGGCGGUGGCGUGGUACACGUAUGCGAGUUACCUCUUAGUGGUGCAUAACCCGAUGAAAGUGGGGCGAAUGCACGAUACUCUCCGUAUAUCACAUGAUAAGAGGAGGAAAGAUGUAUCGCUAANAGAUAGGCCUGCGUUCCAUUAGGUAGGUGGUAAGGGAACGGCUUACCAAGGCAACGAUGGAUAGGGGACUGAGAGGUUGACCCCCCACAUUGACACUGAGAUACGGGUCAAACUCCUACGGGAGGCAGCAGUGAGGAAUAUUGGUCAAUGGGCGAGAGCCUGAACCAGCCAAGUCGCGUGAAGGAAGACUGCCCGCAAGGGUUGUAAACUUCUUUUGUAUGGGAUUAAAGUCACCUACGUGUAGGUGUUUGCAGUUACCAUACGAUAGCAUCGGCUAACUCCGUGCCAGCAGCCGCGGUAUACGGAGAUGCGAGCGUUAUCCGGAUUUUUGGGUUUAAGGGUGCUAAGUGCAAGGACGGGGGAAACU
rnacentral:rRNA from 1 species